rnacentral:rRNA from 1 species
CUACGGGGGGCUGCAGUGGGGAAUAUUGGACAAUGGGGGAAACCCUGAUCCAGCAAUGCCGCGUGUGUGAAGAAGGCCUGCGGGUUGUAAAGCACUUUCGGUUGGGAGGACUGCUUCUAGCACUAAUAUUGUUGGAAGUUGACGUUACCUUCAGAAGAAGCACCGGCUAGCUCCGUGCCAGCAGCCGCGGUAAUACGGAGGGUGCGAGCGUUAAUCGGAAUUACUGGGCGUAAAGCGCGCGUAGGCGGCUAGAUCAGUCGGGUGUGAAAGCCCCGGGCUUAACCUGGGAACUGCAUCCGAUACUGUCUAGCUUGAGUACAGGAGAGGAGAGUGGAAUUCCACAUGUAGCGGUGAAAUGCGUAGAUAUGUGGAGGAACACCAAUGGCGAAGGCAGCUCUCUGGCCUGAUACUGACGCUGAGGUGCGAAAGCGUGGGGAGCAAACAGGAUUAGAUACCCGCGUAGUC